rnacentral:rRNA from 1 species
UACGUAGGGUGCGAGCGUUGUCCGGAAUUACUGGGCGUAAAGAGCUCGUAGGUGGUUUGUCGCGUUGUUCGUGAAAACUCACAGCUCAACUGUGGGCGUGCGGGCGAUACGGGCAGACUGGAGUACUGCAGGGGGAGACUGAAUUCCUGGGUGUAGCGGUGGAAUGCGCAGAUAUCAGGAGGAACACCGGUGGCGAAGGCGGGUCUCUGGGCAGUAACUGACGCU